rnacentral:rRNA from 1 species
AUAUUGGACAAUGGGCGAAAGCCUGAUCCAGCCAUGCCGCGUGUGUGAAGAAGGUCUUCGGAUUGUAAAGCACCUUAAGUUGGGAGGAAGGGCAGUAAGUUAAUACCUUGCUGUUUUUACGUUACCAACAGAAUAAGCACCGGCUAACUUCGUGCCAGCAGCCGCGGUAAUACGAAGGGUGCAAGCGUUAAUCGGAAUUACUGGGCGUAAAGCGCGCGUAGGUGGUUCGUUAAGUUGGAUGUGAAAGCCCCGGGCUCAACCUGGGAACUGCAUCCAAAACUGGCGAGCUAGAGUAUGGCAGAGGGUGGUGGAAUUUCCUGUGUAGCGGUGAAAUGCGUAGAUAUAGGAAGGAACACCAGUGGCGAAGGCGACCACCUGGGCUAAUACUGACACUGAGGUGCGAAAGCGUGGGGAGCAAACA